rnacentral:lncRNA from 1 species
GAAAGACUUGUGAAUCCAGGAAGAGAGACUGACUGGGCAACAUGUUAUUCAGAAUCUCCCUGUGCCAUCCAGGCUGGAGUGCAGUGAUGUGAUCAUAGCUCACUAUAGCUUUGGCCUUCUGAGAUCAAGCAAUCCUCCCAUCUCAACCUCCCAAGUAGCUAGGACUACACAUGCAUGUCACCCAUGCCCAGAUCAUUUUUGUAGAGUCAGAGUUUCACCGUGGUGGCCAGGUUGGCCAUGUUGGCCAGAUGGGGUCUUCUUUUGUUGCCCAGGCUGGCCACAAAUUCCUGGGCUCAAGUGAUCCUCCCACCUCGUCCUUGUAGAGAUGAGAUUUAGUUACGUCGUCCAGGCUGAUCUCAAACUCCUGGGCUAAAUCGAUUGUCUCACCUCAGCCUCUCAAGUAUGUUAUGAAGGUUAUAUGUUAGGAAGGGUCCCAGG